rnacentral:ncRNA from 2 species
AUGUUAUCAAGAAAGGAGGAGGGAUUAGACCCUAUGAUACCUUAGCAACCCUUGUGCUCCCUAGCGAUAGGAUACAAGAAGGUGCUACAUUCUACAAAGAUUUUUUAAAAUCUGCGAUAGAUAACGA